rnacentral:lncRNA from 1 species
GUUUUCUCAGUGUCUUCCCCAGUUGCAGCAAUAGCCUGGGCAAAGGUCCUGCUCAGGUUGUAGGCCUUAAAAGCUGUUAUGAAUCCUUGAUUCUUUGGUUAGAUCAAAAAGGUGGUGUUUGGAGGGAGAAACACUGCCUCGAUAUUGGGAUGAAGAUCAUAAACAAAAGGAGGAUGUCUGGGAGCAUUAUGAACAGCAAGCAAAAUAUUGAAAGAAAUGGAAAUUCCUGUCAAAUUCGAAGGGGCCUCACACAGCCAAAACAAUAUUGAAAAAGAAGAACAAAUUUAGAGGACUCACAUUUCUCAAUUUCGAAACUUAUUAGAGAGCUACAGUAUUCAAAACAGUGUGGUACAGGAAUAAAGAUAGAUAUGUAGAUCUAUGGAAUAGAAAUGAAUUCAAGCAUAUGGACAAGUGAGUCUUCACAAAUGUGCCCAGGAUCAUUCAGUGGGGAAAGUAUGGCCUUUUCAACAAAUGUUGCUUCAAACUGAAUGUCCACAUGCAAAAGAAUGAAGUUAGACUCUUCUCUCACAUUAUAUAGAAAAAUUAACUCAACGCAGCCAAAGACUUAAGUAUGAAAGCUAAAUCCAUAAAACUGUUAAAAGAAAUCAUAGGAGUAAAUCUUCAUGACCUUGCAUUUGGAAAUGAAAUGUCCAGAAUAGAUAAAUGAUGAGUAGUACAGCACAUUUUGGGGGAGUAAUGAAAAUGUUUUGCAACUUUAUAGAGGUAGUGAUUGCACAACAUUGUGAAUGUACUAAAUGCCAAUGAAUUGUACACUUUAAAGUGAUUAAUUUCUUUAUGUGGAUUUCACCUCAAUGAAAAAUAAAAAGCAUAUAAAUAACAGAGCCUGGUGCUCACAAAGGGCUGAGAAUAGUGCCUGUUCCCAUGAGCCAGACUGGAAAACCUCAAGAUUCACAAGGCAUUAGAAUUUACAGAAAGGUGUUGUCUCAGGAGGGGAAAUAAUUAACCUCAUACUGAGUAAAACUUCUGUUUUGCUACCCAACAAAGCAAGACUCAAAUGGAUAAAAUGUUUUCCGAGGAAUUUAAUUGUAGUAAGGAAUAAAGCUCAAGAAUACUUAUAGGAGAACAAAUAUAUAUAGUACACAACAAACAUAAAAUUAAUAAUGUCCAGAAUCCAGUGAAAAAUUACAAGGCAUGCAAAGAAAACAUGACCCUCGAUGAGGAGAAAAAUAAAUUAAUCAUCAACCUAGACCAGCCAGAUGUUAGCAUUAGCAGAUAGAAUUAAAAGUUAUUAUUAUGGCAGAAUUAAAAACUGUAACAGUAUAUCAUAUGAUGAGAGUUAAGCAGAGAUAUGGAGGAUAUAAGACAAUAUCCAAAUUGAACUCCUAGAGACAAAAAAUAUAAUGUCUGAGAUGAAAAUACACUAGAUGGGAUUAAUGGAAAAUUAAACAUUGCAGAGGAAGAUAUUAGUGAAUUGAAGAUAUAGCAACACAAACUAUACAAAGACACAUUGAGAAAAGAAAGUUUUUAAAAAAUGAACAAAGUAUCAAUGAAUUGUGGGACAAUUAUAGAUGGCCUAAUAUAUGUG